rnacentral:lncRNA from 1 species
AUUAAUAUCAUCAACUUCAUAUAUUCAACAAUGGCUUCACCACUCAAAUUCAACGUGUUUGUAGUUUGUAUUUUGGUUUUAGUUGCAGUUGUUGCUGCUCAAUAUGGAAAUGAAACCUCUGCCUCUCCACCAAACCUCAGUUAUCCUACAGCCAUCAUUGUUCUCCUUCCUUUUAUGCUUACUUUUCUUGCAGCCAAACAAAGGAUUUUAGUUUAAUUAACAACCCUUUAUGUUUGUAUAAAUUUCCUAUUUUUGUGUUAUUGUCGCCAAUCUAAUGAUCGUAUUUUGUAGAACAUGAAUUUAUGUUGCCAUUGAAGUGGUGUUAUGUUGCCAUUGAAGCUUCCUAGUUUAAUUAACAACCCUUUAUGAAUUUGUGUUAUUGUCACCAUUCAUUGGUGCAAUUGUUCUUGUGGUUUUCUUACAUCCAAGUUAUUUUUAAAUGUAC